rnacentral:rRNA from 1 species
UGGGGAAUAUUGCACAAUGGGGGAAACCCUGAUGCAGCGACGCCGCGUGAGCGAAGAAGUAUUUCGGUAUGUAAAGCUCUAUCAGCAGGGAAGAAGAAUGACGGUACCUGACUAAGAAGCCCCGGCUAACUACGUGCCAGCAGCCGCGGUAAUACGUAGGGGGCAAGCGUUAUCCGGAUUUACUGGGUGUAAAGGGAGCGUAGACGGCACGGCAAGCCAGAUGUGAAAGCCCGGGGCUCAACCCCGGGACUGCAUUUGGAACUGCUGAGCUAGAGUGUCGGAGAGGCAAGUGGAAUUCCUAGUGUAGCGGUGAAAUGCGUAGAUAUUAGGAGGAACACCAGUGGCGAAGGCGGCUUGCUGGACGAUGACUGACGUUGAGGCUCGAAAGCGUGGGGAGCAGACAGGAUUAGAUACCCUGGUAGUCCACGCCGUAAACGAUGACUGCUAGGUGUCGGGUGGCAAAGCCAUUCGGUGCCGCAGCUAACGCAAUAAGCAGUCCACCUGGGGAGUACGUUCGCAAGAAUGAAACUCAAAGGAAUUGACGGGGACCCGCACAGGCGGUGGAGCAUGUGGUUUAAUUCGAAGCAACGCGAAGAACCUUACCUGAUCUUGACAUCCCGAUGACCGCUUCGUAAUGGAAGCUUUUCUUCGGAACAUCGGUGACAGGUGGUGCAUGGUUGUCGUCAGCUCGUGUCGUGAGAUGUUGGGUUAAGUCCCGCAACGAGCGCAACCCCUAUCUUCAGUAGCCAGCAGGUUAAGCUGGGCACUCUGGAGAGACUGCCAGGGAUAACCUGGAGGAAGGUGGGGAUGACGUCAAAUCAUCAUGCCCCUUAUGACCAGGGCUACACACGUGUUACAAUGGCGUAAACAAAGAGAAGCGAACUCGCGAGGGUAAGCAAAUCUCAAAAAUAACGUCUCAGUUCGGAUUGUAGUCUGCAACUCGACUACAUGAAGCUGGAAUCGCUAGUAAUCGCAGAUCAGAAUGCUGCGGUGAAUACGUUCCC